rnacentral:rRNA from 1 species
CUACGGGGCGCACCAGUGGGGAAUUUUGCGCAAUGGGGGAAACCCUGACGCAGCAACGCCGCGUGAAGGAUGAAGGCCUUUGGGUCGUAAACUUCUGUCAGAGGGAAAGAAAUACUCGUAAGAGAGAUGACGGUACCCUCAAAGGAAGCACCGGCUAACUCCGUGCCAGCAGCCGCGGUAAUACGGAGGGUGCAAGCGUUGUUCGGAAUUAUUGGGCGUAAAGAGCAUGUAGGCGGACUGUUAAGUCUGGUGUGAAAGCCCGGGGCUCAACCCCGGAAGUGCAUUGGAUACUGGCAGUCUUGAGUAUGGGAGAGGAAAGUGGAAUUCCGAGUGUAGGAGUGAGAUCCGUAGAUAUUCGGAGGAACACCAGUGGCGAAGGCGGCUUUCUGGACCAAUACUGACGCUGAGAUGCGAAAGCGUGGGGAGCAAACAGGAUUAGAUACCCGAGUAGUC